rnacentral:rRNA from 1 species
GACGAACGCUGGCGGCGUGCUUAACACAUGCAAGUCGAACGCUGAAGACCUGGCUUUUGUUGGGUUGGAUGAGUGGCGAACGGGUGAGUAACACGUGAGUAACCUGCCCUCUUCUUUGGGAUAACGCCCGGAAACGGGUGCUAAUACUGGAUAUUCACUGAUCUUCGCAUGGGGGUUGGUGGAAAGGUUUGUUCUGGUGGGGGAUGGGCUCGCGGCCUAUCAGCUUGUUGGUGGGGUGAUGGCCUACCAAGGCUUUGACGGGUAGCCGGCCUGGGAGGGUGACCGGUCACAUUGGGACUGGGAUACGGCCCAGAGUGCUACGGGAGGCAGCAGUGGGGAAUAUUGCACAAUGGGCGAAAGCCUGAUGCAGCGACGACGCGUGAGGGAUGGAGGCCUUCGGGUUGUAAACCUCUUUCGCUCAUGGUCAAGCCGCAACUGUGGGUUGUGGUGAGGGUAGUGGGUAAAGAAGCGCCGGCUAACUACGUG